rnacentral:rRNA from 1 species
AUGGCCACGGCGCAGAAUCGCCGCGCUCCUCUUCCUCCCUCUCACGCAGAAAAGAAAAAGGAGGACACGACGAGCGCCUCUCUGUCUCUCUCGCGCGGAAACGGAGAUGGGAGGGGGAAGGGGCUGCCUUGCCGGUGCCGCCUUGGCUCGCCGCGCCGGCGAUGGCGCGCGCACCGGGGCCGAGCGGGCGGGCGAGAGAGGAACGGACAAGCGAGAGAAGCGCUGGGGGCGGAAUGGCGUUAG